AAACCCAGUGUGUUUCGACACACUAUCAUUAACUGAAUCCAUAGGUUAAUGAGGCGAACCGGGGGAACUGAAACAUCUAAGUACCCCGAGGAAAAGAAAUCAACCGAGAUUCCCCCAGUAGCGGCGAGCGAACGGGGAGGAGCCCAGAGCCUGAAUCAGUGUGUGUGUUAGUGGAAGCGUCUGGAAAGGCGCGCGAUACAGGGUGACAGCCCCGUACACAAAAAUGCACAUAUUGUGAGCUCGAUGAGUAGGGCGGGACACGUGGUAUCCUGUCUGAAUAUGGGGGGACCAUCCUCCAAGGCUAAAUACUCCUGACUGACCGAUAGUGAACCAGUACCGUGAGGGAAAGGCGAAAAGAACCCCGGCGAGGGGAGUGAAAAAGAACCUGAAACCGUGUACGUACAAGCAGUGGGAGCCUCUUAAUGGGGUGACUGCGUACCUUUUGUAUAAUGGGUCAGCGACUUAUAUUCUGUAGCAAGGUUAACCGAAUAGGGGAGCCGAAGGGAAACCGAGUCUUAACUGGGCGUUAAGUUGCAGGGUAUAGACCCGAAACCCGGUGAUCUAGCCAUGGGCAGGUUGAAGGUUGGGUAACACUAACUGGAGGACCGAACCGACUAAUGUUGAAAAAUUAGCGGAUGACUUGUGGCUGGGGGUGAAAGGCCAAUCAAACCGGGAGAUAGCUGGUUCUCCCCGAAAGCUAUUUAGGUAGCGCCUCGUGAAUUCAUCUCCGGGGGUAGAGCACUGUUUCGGCAAGGGGGUCAUCCCGACUUACCAACCCGAUGCAAACUGCGAAUACCGGAGAAUGUUAUCACGGGAGACACACGGCGGGUGCUAACGUCCGUCGUGAAGAGGGAAACAACCCAGACCGCCAGCUAAGGUCCCAAAGUCAUGGUUAAGUGGGAAACGAUGUGGGAAGGCCCAGACAGCCAGGAUGUUGGCUUAGAAGCAGCCAUCAUUUAAAGAAAGCGUAAUAGCUCACUGGUCGAGUCGGCCUGCGCGGAAGAUGUAACGGGGCUAAACCAUGCACCGAAGCUGCGGCAGCGACACUAUGUGUUGUUGGGUAGGGGAGCG
rnacentral:rRNA from 1 species